rnacentral:rRNA from 1 species
CAGUAGCCGCGGUAAUACGUAGGUGGCAAGCGUUGUCCGGAUUGAUUGGGUGUAAAGGGUGUGCAGACGGCUUAUUAAGUCUGAUGUGAAAGCCCCCGGCUCAACCGGGGAGGGUCAUUGGAAACUGGGAAACUUGAGUGCAGAAGAGGAGAGUGGAAUUCCACGUGUAGCGGUGAAAUGCGUAGAGAUGUGGAGGAACACCAGUGGCGAAGGCGACUCUCUGGUCUGUAACUGACGCUGAGGAGCGAAAGCGUGGGGAGCGAACAGGAUUAGAUACCCCGGUAGUCCCUGUCUCUUAUAC